GAUGUCUCCAUUUCCCCUUCUUGAGCAGCUGUCACUGGUCAUGAGAACCGUGAGUCCCAGACAGUGGGGGCUGCUUCAGCCUGGAUUCAGAAUGAGAAGAUUCAUGGGGCACGCACCCCACGGCCUGGAGCCCAGCCUAGGAGAGCUGUGAUGAACCCCAAACUGACUUGCAGACCCCUGGCCAGGACUGCCCCUCUCAUUCAAGGCGUGCGGAUUUGAGAUCGGAGCCUGCAACUGCCUCAGAGGAUGGGGCGCACAGGCCCCCAACCUGGCUGCCUUGAAGCUGAGUGAGUCCCCGAGCUUUGUGCAUUUGCCUUGUCCUGCUGGGACCCCUCCGGGCAUCUCCUCCAAGAACGAGUUUUGGAGAAGAGAAGGGAGGACCUCUUUCACACCUCUGCAACCCAGAAAAGGGAUGACCCGGGGCCGAGAAGCCGGCUGUGAGCCUCGUCCGCCAUCUGCUGGCCAUUUGUUUAAUUGCAGCGAGAAGCUCCAUUAACCAGAAAGGGAAGCGUCAGGCCCACUCCCUUACUUCCCGCCACUAACAUUGGUUAAUCCUUUCUGCCUCUGGUUGAAAAUGAUGCCCGGUUGACCCUUGAAAAACAUGGGUUUGAACUGCGCAAGUCCACUCACACGCGGAUUUUUUUCACUAAAUACACACCACACGCGUCUCGGUUGGUUGAAUCCCCGGAUGUGGGACUACGACUGGAGGGUCAAAGUUAGGCGAAGAUUUUCAGUUCGCUUUGUCCCACUUUGUUCAAGGAAUAACUGUAUUUAUGCUAAAACAAUGACAAUAAAGGGAAAUAAAGAGACAGUUUUCCCACGUGCUGCUGCUGUCUAGACAAGCACCAUUUUUUUUUUUUUUUUUUAAAAUAAACUGUGUGUUAAAGUGUCA